GGUUGUUCUUCUCUGCUGCUGCUGAUUAUUUUGCCUCUUGGACUUUGGGGAAUGUUUCAUAAGCAAGGUUGUUUUAAAUGCCACAGUGAAAGAUCUACCGAACAUAGGAAUGACUCAAGAGACGCAGAGCUGGACCAAGGGUGUCCAAAAAGUCUCAGUACAUUGGGCACUACGUAUGCCAGCAUCCUGUCGGUUGUGCCAGCGGAUGUUCAUGGACGUCCUCGUCUCGGUUGGUACACAACACUUCCAGCCUUUAUGAAUUUGUUAAUAAGUUUGGCGACAGUGUCGUGUGUGAUGUGCUCUCCCUGUUUCCUGUUCAAGUCCAUCGCAACCUUGAGAUGGUUUCCCGAUCCAGCCAUGAGAAUGAUUUCAAC
ensembl:lncRNA